UAAUGAUAGAGGUGCGAAUACUAUCAGUAGCGUUUGUCUAUGACGGUCGCAGCGUUACGGCUUGCGUGAAAGGAGUAUUUGCCGAAGAUUGCCGAGGCGAAAGGCAAGUCUGGGAGUGCGGAGAAUAUCCGUUCUACUGUCGCAGAUGCGGAGUGCUAUCUU
rnacentral:ncRNA from 1 species